UCCAAGGCUAAAUACUCUCUAAUGACCGAUAGUGAACAAGUACCGUGAGGGAAAGGCGAAAAGAACCCCGGGAGGGGAGUGAAAUAGAACCUGAAAUCGUAUGCAUACAAGCAGUAGGAGCAGAUUUAUUUUGUGACUGCGUACCUUUUGUAUAAUGGGUCAGCGACUUACUUCUCAGUAGCAAGGUUAACCAAUAGGGGAGCCGUAGGGAAACCGAGUCUUAAAUGGGCGUUUAGUUGCUGGGAGUAGACCCGAAACCGGGUGAUCUAUCCAUGGCCAGGGUGAAGGUUAGGUAAAACUAACUGGAGGCCCGAACCCACUUAUGUUGAAAAAUGAGGGGAUGAGCUGUGGAUAGGGGUGAAAGGCCAAACAAACCCGGAGAUAGCUGGUUCUCUCCGAAAUCUAUUUAGGUAGAGCCUCAUGUAUUACUGUCGGGGGUAGAGCACUGUUAUGGUUAGCGGGUUGUCAAGACUUAGUAAGCCAUUGCAAACUCCGAAUACCGAUAAGUAUGAGCAUGGGAGACACACUGCGGGUGCUAACGUCCGUAGUGGAAAGGGAAACAACCCAGACCGUCAGCUAAGGUCCCAAAAUUGUAGUUAAGUGGGAAACGAUGUGAAAAGGCCGAGACAGCCAGGAAGUUGGCUUAGAAGCAGCCAUUCCUUUAAAGAGUGCGUAAUAGCUCACUGGUCGAGUCGAUUUGCGCGGAAGAUUUAACGGGGCUAAAACUACAUACCGAAGCUACGGAUCGCAAUUUAUUGCGGUGGUAGGAGAGCGUUCUGUAAGCCGUUGAAGGUAAGCUGUGAGGUUUGCUGGAGGUAUCAGAAGUGCGAAUGCUGACAUGAGUAACGAUAAAGGGGGUGAAAAACCCCCUCGCCAGAAGUCCAAGGUUUCCUACGCAACGUUAAUCGGCGUAGGGUUAGUCAGCCCUAAGGCGAGGCAGAAAUGCGUAGUCGAUGGGAAAUGGGUUAAUAUUCCCAUACUUCAUAUAACUGCGAUGGGAAGACGGAGAAGGUUAGCGUAGCUUGGCUAUGGUUGUCCAAGUUCAAGCGUGUAGAAAUGAGUUUUAGGAAAAUCCGGAACUCUAUAUUUCAAGGCGUGAUAACGAUCCCUUUUUUGGGAGAAGUACGUGAUACCAUACUUCCAGGAAAAUCCUCUAAGCUUCAGGUUAUAUGAAACCGUACCCCAAACCGACACAGGUGGACGAGAUGAGAAUUCUAAGGCGCUUGAGAGAACUCGGGUGAAGGAACUAGGCAAAAUGACACCGUAACUUCGGGAGAAGGUGUGCUCUUUCUAGUAAUUUUACUUGCUAAAUGAGCUGGUAAGAGUUGAAGAUACCAGGUAGCUCCGACUGUUUAUUAAAAACACAGCACUCUGCAAACACGUAAGUGGACGUAUAGGGUGUGACGCCUGCCCGGUGCUUGAAGGUUAAUUGAUGAGGUUAGGAUUUAUCCGAAGCUUUUGAUCGAAGCCCAAGUAAACGGCGGCCGUAACUAUAACGGUCCUAAGGUAGCGAAAUUCCUUGUCGGGUAAGUUCCGACCUGCACGAAUGGCGUAACGAGGGCUACACUGUCUCUACCCGAGACUCAGUGAAAUUGAAAUUGCUGUUAAGAUGCAGUAUACCCGCGGCCAGACGGAAAGACCCCGUGCACCUUUACUACAGCUUUGCAUUGAAUUUUGAUCUUAUUUGUGUAGGAUAGGUGGUAGGUUUUGAAACUUAGACGCUAGUUGAGUGGAGCCAUCCUUGAAAUACCACCCUGAUAUGGUUGGAGUUCUAACCUAGGUCCAUUAUCUGGACCAGGAACAAUGUAUGGUGGG
rnacentral:rRNA from 1 species